rnacentral:lncRNA from 1 species
AAAUAUCUGGACUGACUCUAAUCUGAUCCAAAAUUGCACUCCAUUUUCCACAUGCUCCUUUACUAGAGGAAUAUGACCAUGUCAUAUUUUAUUUCUGUAUUUUUUUGAGCUCAUGGUUUUGCUCAAGGUUUUGAGUGAAUUCACAUUAGAAUCCUGUGCACCUACAUUAAUAUAUUUUGUUAAGCAUUUAUAAGGUGUGAUGGUUUGGACCCAGAAUGUCCCUGAAAAGUUCAUAUGUUGAAGGCUUGGCCCUCAGUGCAUCAAUGUCCAAAGGUGAGACUUUUAGGAAACAGUUGGAUAGUCUUGUUUUAUCUAACUAGAGAGGUUCUUCUGCACCUUGUUUUUCCCACUGACAUUAUUCAGAGGUCAAUUACUCAAGAGAAAGCUCAAAAUCAUUGUUUUCUGUAUAUAAAAAAGUAUUUUUUAUGUAUAUAAAAACCUGUGUAUUGUAUGUGUGUCCAUAUAUGUGUCUUUGCUUAUAUAUCAUUUACAUGGUACCAAAAUUGACAUAUAGAUGAAUGAGCACUCAGAAAAUAAAUUUUAUUAACAAAAAAAAAAAAAAAGGAAAUGGGUCCAAAUGCCUUUUGGUUCACAUGACUUAAAAUCUUAAAAAAAAAAAAAAAGAAGAAGUCCAAGCCUCAAAGAGCAUAUUUGGAAAUCAAUCUAACAAAAGAGGUGAAAGACUUCUAUAAAGUAAACUACAGAACACUAAAGAAAGAAAUUGAGACUUUGGAAGAUGGCGGCGAGGGGAGUGCAUUGCCCCCGUGUGCUGCUUCACUGUGUGGGAGUAUGACAAGUCAGGACGGCUAAAGGCUAUCUUGUUAGGAAUUUCCAGCAAUAGUGGGGUGCUCUGGAACCUGGAGGAAGGAUUUCCAUCGCACAAGGAUCGGCUAUGGGGACUCAAACGCGAGAGGUUUGUCGCACGGAGGGUAACACUGCUUAUUCAGCAAAUUGCCCCGCGGCUAGAGUCCGCAGCGCGCGCUGGGAAACGAGGAGAUAGCUACGCAGGGAUACAGUGCUGCAGUUUCUGCCAGCCAUGCAAGCACCGUACUCAGGGCUGAAUUCUGGGUUCGAGACGGGGGAAGGAAGCGGUCCAUCUCGGUUCUCCACACCGGUCAGACCACAGAGGAGGCCAGCAGCCACCAUGUUGGAAAGCUGACGUCACCAUCCCUGCUUUCGACUGACCGCAGCUCAUUCAGCCAUAGAACAGGUAAUUUCAGGCUGCCUUUCUCCUGCGGCUUGCAGACAGAUUGCUAGGGUUCAGUGCCUGGGGGCUUCUUAGAACCUGAUCUUAUCGGAGCGAACACCGAGAGUGGGGCGGCCGAGUUCCGGCUCCCGGAACUGCCCUGGCCCAGGGCUGGGGAGCCUGCGGAGGAUGCUUCUUGGACCCUGCUCCUAUCAGAGCAUACACCAAGCACUAAGCAGCCGAAUUCCGGCUCCCGGAACUGAGCCCGCGGGGACUGCUUCUUGGAGCCUACUCUUAUAGGAGCUUACACCGAGCACGGAGCGGCCAAGUUCCGGCUCCCGGAACUGCCCUGGCCCAGGGCUAGGAGCCCACGGAAACUGCUUCUCAGUCCGGGUCCUGCUGAGGGCCGGUCAGGACUCACCCGUUGCUUUGGUUGCCCGGCAAGGGGAACGAAAUGCUGCCAUUCGCAUAGGAUACCAACAUGGCAGAGAUCUGAUGUCAUCAGAAAGCGGCGGAGGAGAGAACUUCAUCAAUACCAGCAGCGACAGAAACAGUUGGUCUCCUGGUAGGGGGGGUGAGGCACAGACACCCGAGUCUCCUCAAUUUGUCGUCGAGCCAGAGGGGAGGAGCCGGGCUGCCGCCAGCGCCCAGAGCAG